rnacentral:sRNA from 16 species
UCCCUGCCUACGCCGACGGGCGGAAAAGCCGGAGACCUUCACCGGCCUGGCAGGGGCACCCCUAUGAAGG